ACCACUGACGUGUAUAGUAUAACUGGACUGCGGAUGUUCGAUGUGUUGUGAAGCAACGGCUGGGGGCGGGACAUGGGACGAUUUUUGGGCGGAAGAAGGAAGUAGAGCGCCUUUUUCCAUUGAUCUCUAUGGUGGACUUGAAGCCAUAUAGUUCCUAGGCAAUUCUUGCCGAGUCGGCCCUGUUUCGUUAAAACGGUAGUCUCCCCUCCCUCCCAAACAACCCAGAUAUUUUUUUCGGGCUGACCCUUUAUUUAAGAAAGCUAUUAAAAUAGUUUAAAUGACCAAUGAGCAUGGCUAUUUGGGUUGAUUGGCAGUUGCCAUUCUUUAGAAUUAUUGUUUUGAUUGACAGGCAGGCCGUUGUCAAGGAGAAGGGCGAGUCUCGCGGCGUCUCCAGGGGAAGCCCCCUCCCUCCCUGCUGCAUUACUUUCAACCAGCUCUGCUUUCAACAGCUUCAUUACUGCGAUGGGUUAUUUAAUUUUGGUACACUUUCCCCACAAAUAUGCGUUGUUGUACUUUUGGAUGUACUUCUCCGUACUCUGUAAGGACCUCUGCAGUUUUGGCAAACAACAAACCACACUUCACCUGGAAAACAGAGCCAGGACUCACUGUCAGAUGUCUGAAAAUGUACAGUAGGCUACACGCCAGCAGGUCUCACCAUAGUCAACAUCAUCAAGGAUUGUCACUCUGACCUGAGAAGAGGCCCCAUAGAGACACGGACAAGGACCAGCCACUGUUGCCAGUGCACAACUGAGGACCCGACCAGCCUGCUGCCAUCUAUGAUACUAUAUAGUACCCGCGGAGCGGUCUGAAGACGUGGAGUACACUGCAGCAGGUAUCACAUGACCAAGGACUUGGACAACGUCUCUGUUUACAUCUAUAGUGUAUUACACAACUGAAGAUGUGCACAGUACCCUACUGCCUGCAUCCUACCACCACAGAGGAUCCGAUAUGCAGAACCAGCUUCAAAAACCAUUGCAAUUAUGAAACACAGUUAAUAAAUGCUUAUAUACAGCAGCCCGCACAUUUUGUUUAAUUUGUAAUAUUGGUUAACACACUAUUGUAACAACUGUUUAGAUCGGUGUUUCCCAACCAGGGGUACAUGUACCACUAGGGGUACGUGAACACAAUGCAGGUGGUACAUGCAUUGGCAGGUAUCAAUAAAAAGAAAUGUAUGGAGCAUAAUCAUAUUGGGAUAGAGCAGUGGUUCCUAACCUAUGGGUCGGGACCCAACUUAUGGGUCGCCAAAGAUCCACAGUGGGUCGCGAAGCCCUCUUGAUUUUAAGGGGUUUCGUUUUAAUACCAUAUAGCCCAUGUUGAAUAUAUGACAAAGUAAAGCUUUUAAACUGAUAUAUGCAUAGAGGCAACAAAAUGUAAGCGACACAUUAAACAGUCAUUCUAUAUUUGACUGAAGACAAAUUGAGGAAUACAAUUUUCUAAUGAGUUUCCGCAUGACUCCCUCUCGCCUGGGACUCCCUCUCGCGUGGGCGCUGGCAUGAUUGGGUCACCAAAGCUUACAAUGGUAAAAAUAUGGGUCCCUGAAGAAAAAGGUUGGGAACCACUGGGAUAGAGGAAG